AAUCUUAAAAACCCUCAUUAGACCUAAAAUUCUACUUUCUAAGAUCUUGACCCACUUAAACCUCAAUAUCUUUUAAUUCAACUGUUAGAUCGAGCUCAAAUUUACAAUACAUAUUGAACACAACUACAACCAUAAACUUACAAAAUUUCAUCCAUAGAUCUACUACAAAACUCUCAAAAUCAUCCAAAACAUAAACCCUAUUUUAUUUCAUAAAACCCAAGUCAUCUGAAACAAACCUUGACUUUGCAAAGCUCUUACAAAGUCAUAACAAUUCUAAAUCAUCCAAAUUCAAUGCAUAUAGAAAUCCUAUCCAAUCUGCUAUCAAAUCCCACUC
rnacentral:lncRNA from 1 species